UCCGCUGGCGUCUCUUGAAGAGUCUGGCCCCUCUGUUGCUGAGUGUUGAGAGUUCCUCUACCAUGAUAUCUCUGGGCGUGCUGACCUUUUUCCCAAGGUUUAAGGACAUGUGAAGACUGAGAGAGCAAGUUAAAGGCUGGUUGCAGAUGAUCCUUAGAGAACAGAUCCUCUAUCAGGAGCUGUUAUUGGAAUCAUGCAGAUGAGAUCCCUCAAGGAGCAGGUUGCCACAAUUUAAUCAGUGGUUCCUAAGGAUAGUGACCUGCCACUAGAUGAGAAGAGACUAUCGUAGUUGACACAGGAAAAGAAUUGGAUCUAUGUCCUGCUUGAAAGAAGAAUUUAUCAGAUUGCCUCUGAAUAUGCAUUAGAAGACCAGCAGAGUUCAGCCCUUUCUGGAGAUGCCUUGCCAGCUCGCUGCAGGAACAACAGCCCUGGUGUAAUUCCAGGAAGGAAGCAGAACCCGUGGAGUCGGCACGGCAGGAUAACCGCUGCCUCUGGAAUUUCCCACUGUCAGGAGUGCCCUUUGCUGAUUAAAAUGUCAAGUGCUGAGCAAUUCCUCAAAUCCACAGAAAUGUUCAUCUUAGGGGAAAGUUCCUUUUGUGAGGAGCUCAGCCAGGGAUGUUUGCUGUCAUCAGAGCACUACAGAGGAUCCAGGGCCUCCUGGCAUCAGUUCACAAGCAGCAGGGACUGGGGGCUGUCCAGGGGCCCUUCAGGAGGGUCUGUAAAGACUUGGGCUAAAACUGUGAGUGAGCAAGGAGUGGGUGCUGUGAUGCCCUGGUGAGAGAUCACAUCCCAGAGGCACAGGUGGUCCUUAUACUUGUUUGAGGUGGAAAUAUGCAAUUCAGUGAAUAACAAUGCUGUCUUCAGCAAGAAAGCAAAAAUCUUCACAGCGGGUUGGUGACACAUGGAUAUUGGAGACCAGGACAAGCUUCAGACAGACAGCUGGGAAAACCAAAGUUUUAAGAGGAACUGUUUGGCUUUCAGUGGAUAAUAUAUCUAUGAAGCAUGGGAGACUUUCUGGACUCGUUGAACUUUCGGAGGCAGCCCAGCAAGGUAUAAAAUCCUGCAUCACUUGAGCUUCUCCUGCUGCACUGGCUGGGUAUGUUGAAGGAAAAAGUUGAAAGAGCUGAAAACCAAGGAGACACAACAUCAGACCUGAAAUUUUAGUCAUCAUCGAUUGAACAUAUAAAAUGGACCCAGCAGCCGAUGAACCAUGCUAGGGUUUAAUUCUUCAGCGCUGGAUGAUGCAGGAAUGCAGAGGCCUGAAUGCAAGCCUGAUUUGAACAGGCCAGUGCAUCUUUAGUUUCUGCAUAAGUCAAUUAGCCCCCCGUAUCAAUUUGUGCUAAUUCCCAGUCUCUGCAACUUUUCCAGGCCUCUCAUGCAAAUCAGGCCUGGAAGCAAACAACAAGUGAGUGACCCAGAAGGCUGGUACGGGGCUGGGCACCAUUGUUCUCAGGCCAUGAAUUUCAGUGCUCCAUUUGUUCAUGGAGUAACCAAAAAAAAUGAGAAGCCACAAGGAUAACUACCUCCUCAGGCUUAAUUAUUGUACCCUUUGUACUGUUCUUCCCAGGGUGGAAAAAGAGGCAUUCAUGGUCCUCUCACUACAUUUGGAUUCACUGGAUUGUUUUUCACUGUUCCUGUAAAUAUAGAGGAAGAAAACUGAAACUAGAAUGACAAGAGGUUUUAAAGUCAACCCCUUCUUGUAGUCACAAAUUGUGCCAUGAAAUCAGAAAUACCUUGGUAGCAUUAUCCUGGUGAUCUGGAAAAUGACUUAAAAAUGUAGCACAUUUAGGAGUUGAAUCAGGGUCCUUCAGAUGAAGAUUCAAUCAUGGAAAAUUUAGUUUGACCACACCUGUACUGAUCUGUUAAUUUAAAGGUAUUGGAGUAAAAAUGGGCUCAAGCUGCAAAACUCAAGUAGAUUUCCAACACUGUAGCUGUUCAA